CCUCCAAGUAAUUAGUUGACUAAACCUGAGCCAAUUGUGGGGAGCAGGAAGGAAACAUGAACUGCGUGUUUUAUUAUUCAGACAUUGCCUGCAUCCCAUAUGCAUGUUGCUUGUCAAUGUUCUGCACAAGGAAUGAAAACAAUUGAGUUCUGAAGAUGAUUCACUGUAAAGUUAUUAUCAUGCCCCUUUACAAGAUGAGUGCAGAGAUGGACAGACACAUUAAGCAACUUGCACAGGAAUGUAAAAAGCCUGAAUUUGAUAUGAUACCCAAUCCAAACAGGAAUGACUGGCACUGAUGGUGCAAAUACAAGACAGAAGCAGGUCUGGUACAGAUCCCUCUGGCUGUGACAGGGCUACAUCCACAGUGCUGGUUUUUUGUCAAGUGACUGGAGGAUGGAUGGGACACCAAGUGUUAAUAACAGAACCUCUGUAGACUGCAAAGAACUGCAAACUUCAGCUUUCAAAAGCAAUGUUUGAAAUUGUUUUUAAAAGGAAAAAAAGGCUGUAAAUUUCAGACUGGAAUAUGAGGUCUUGCUGAAAUGUAAUUGUGGAUAACUGCAAACACCUAUAGGAAAACAUGAAUAAAUCUGCAAUAGAAACAGGUUACA
rnacentral:lncRNA from 1 species